GGAGGCUAAAGCAAAGGGCGCACGGUCCCUGGCUAGAAGCAGAUCGGACGGGGAGAUCUGAAUGUCUGAUCCCGAUCUAGCACUGCUCAUCUGCAGAAUUAUACUGGAGUACCGAGUACAAGGUACAAGGACGGAACAUGUCAGCUUGCUGACUGGAAAGUGGCUCGUUUGAUGACGUGAGAAGGAUUCAGGCGACGACUUUGGCAUAAGCUACGAGAAGUUGAGGACUUGCAUAUGGUACAGAGAAUGCAUUUUGCCCUUUCGCCUUUUUUUUUUGCAGGGAGAUUUAGCUGCUCUUUUUAAUGUAAAAUGGUUGUUUGCGAUUUCUUACUGGUGGUCUGGUGCAUAAACC
rnacentral:lncRNA from 1 species